rnacentral:tRNA from 1 species
GGGGUUGUAGCUCAGUUGGUAGAGUGCUUGCCUUGUAUGCACACGGCCCUGGGUUUGAUCCCCAGCACCAUCC